rnacentral:rRNA from 1 species
UACGUAGGAGGCGAGCGUUGUCCGGAGUUACUGGGCGUAAAGGGUGCGUAGGUGGCGUGGUAAGUUUGAUGUGAAAGCUCAGGGCUUAACCCUGAAAUGGCAUUGAAUACUACUGUGCUGGAGGUUUGGAGGGGGGACUGGAAUUCUUGGUGUAGCAGUGAAAUGCGUAGAUAUCGAGAGGAACACCAGUGGCGAAGGCGAGUCCCUGGACAGGUCCUGACGCUGAGGCACGAAAGCUAGGGGAGCAAACAGG